rnacentral:rRNA from 1 species
UACAGAGGUCCCAAGCGUUGUUCGGAUUCAUUGGGCGUAAAGGGUGCGUAGGUGGCGUGGUAAGUCGGGUGUGAAAUUUCGGAGCUUAACUCCGAAACUGCAUUCGAUACUGCCGUGCUUGAGGACUGGAGAGGAGGCUGGAAUUUACGGUGUAGCGGUGAAAUGCGUAGAGAUCGUGCGGAAGACCAGUGGCGAAGGCGGGUCUCUGGACUGUUCCUGACGCUGAGGCGCGAAAGCCGGGGGAGCAAACGGG